CACACUGCGCAGUGGCGAUAUCGUACCCAAUGAGGAACAUCCGAGGUGGGAUCAUUGCUAAUUGAAAAAAUACGAUUGAUUACUAACCCAACGGCAGUUCUACGUCAACCUUGCGGUUAUAUCAUAGGAAUAAACCAUCCAUAGUUU